GACAUGAAAUGAAAAUAAAUCAAAUUUAAGAAAUUGACUUUUGUCAAGCUUAUCUUUCCCAAAAAAGUUUUGCAGACCACCUCCAUUUGUUUAAAAGACCCUCUUUUCUUUAGCAAAUUCAUCCUCCAUUCAAACAAACAUUAACGAACGGAUCAUAAUCAGAAACGUUCUACUCUUCGUCAUUCAAGUCCGGCAAACCUUUUCACCGGAAAUACUUGUAACUGGGAUGAUGAUUUCGCCGGAGAAGCACGUCGCCGGAAUGGGAGUUGCAGUCGAGAUGUAUAGAAACAGAAGUAGCACCCACACCGGGCCGACCUCUCCCACUGGAUCUCCGGGCGAACCGCCGGUCACCGGCCAGACCGCCGGUCUGAUGCAUGAACGGUCUGAACAAGUGAACCGGCCCGGCGAACCUUCCGACUCCCGGCCCGACCGGUCCGGCCGGUCCGGUCCGGGUCUGAAAACGUUGGUCCACAUACACAUCAGUUUACUUCCGUGGGUAAUCCUGUCUUUCCACCAUCACCAAUCUCACAACCUUCACCAUCGCUACGUUCGCCAAUCCCACAACCUUAUCCAUCAGCCAAACAGAAUAACAUGCCAAGAAGUGCGAAAAUCAUAACUAUUACCCUAGUUAUAAUAAUCUCUUCAUUUUGUAUGAUUAUGAUGUUUAGAAUGAAGAAAAGGCGAAUGACACCUCUUGCAACCCUUCAAAGUAAACCAACUAUGGAUAUCAGCACACUGGAAUCUUUUCAGUAUGACUUCAGUAUUGUGAAGGCAGCAACAAAUGAUUUUUCUGAAGAAAAUAAGCUCGGAUGGGGUGAGUUUGGAGCAGUUUACAAGGUGCUUUUUAUGCCGUUUCCACCAUAUGUCCAAGCCGUUUGACUGUACUUGUUCCAAUAAAGUUACUGUUCCCCGUCAGACGACAUUCAAGCCGGGUCAACAAGAACGAGCAGCCGUGUUCCAUACAUGUGACAAACACCAAAACACUUUCAAACUUUUUCUCACUUUGGAGCAAUUAACUUGAAGACCCAACGUUGAAGAUCCGAAAGAUCGUUGACCCGUCUGGGACCACUAAUCACACUUCUGCGACAUUAUUUGUGGGCCCCCCACUAUGGAUGCUUUUGGAAACUUCAACCAACACGUGAACAUGCCAAAUGAUUUCGGGAACAUGCCAAACGACCAAGAGAUGGAAGAAGCUUCCAUGGACCCCCCUUCAUACCCGCAAUCAACCAUUGAAGUAAGAGAAAAGUGGUGUAUUUUACAAUCUUUGCGUGACGUGAUGACUCCGCCGAUCGAAACAACGAUUAGGCAAACGUGUUUCGGACCAUAUUUAGACAAUAGAUGCACCAUAUGUGAUAGCCUUCUUUUAAUAGGCGUUGCACAACUACAAAUAUCGACUCCUUUUCCCCAUCUUGGUAUUUCGUAUAGAUUACGAGGGGGCCUAUUUACAUUCAUCCCUAAACAAUUUUGUUUAAUAACGGGGCUACGUUUUGGGCACACUUCUUGGUCACCUAUAGAGCACCCGAACUUAUUUAAGAACAUAUUUUUUCGACCUGGAUCAACUGUUAGUUUUGGAAAAAUAAUGUCUUUAUUCGAGAACGUUGGGCAGCUUAACGAAGAUGACACCACGAGGAUAUGUCUCCUCAUGCUUAUCGGUCAAGGUUUUUUGGGUUGGCAAAAAACCAAUGUCGUUGACAAUAUGCUUUUAGACCUUGUGGAUAAUCUAGAAGAAUUCAGACAAUAUCCAUGGGGUAAUUAUUUUUGGGAAAGUACUUAUAGUGUCGUAUACAAUUUGCACAAUCGGCAAAAAGGAGACGAUAAAGGUUUUUCUUUGUCGGGAUUUGUCUGGCCCUUCAAGAUGUAGGUGUUGGAGAUUUUUCCUCAAUUUAAGCAUUCAAGGGAAUGGUUUGAAAGUGAGACGAUUCCCAGAUUUUUGGGAUGGAAAGAAGGGAAGAAGUUUAUGAGGGUCACUGUGGAUGGAAUGCUUCAACUAGCUGCAAAGGCCGCCUUUGUUUAUAUUGCCCACUAAAAAUGAGCUGCGGAGCACGUGGUAUUUGUCUAGUUCAGAUUAUUUAGACGCUGAACGUCGGAUGUAUGCUAGUGCAAUGCCGGGCGAGAAUCUGAUUCAAAUGGCCACCGAAAUACCCAUCCAAAUGCCCACAGGGUUCACGGGUCCAAUUCAACCCGAAAUGCUGCCUGCCCCCGGUGUCGACCCACAAUAACAGUUGGCAUCUGUAAUGAACACUUUGUUUGGUGACGAUGGCGCGAAUGAAGGUUAUAAUCCGCCACCGGAUCGACAGGAAAUUCCGCAACAGAAUUUUGUUCCCCCUCCGUCCAUGUUUGGAUCAAAUUACGAGAAUGAGCUGAUUUCACAAUUUAAAUCACUCUUGGACGAGAAGCUACACGAGAACAACCGGAGACUGACCGAUAUGUUAAAGUCAGAGUUAUUGCAAACAUAUCGAUGUUCCCCAAAACAACAAACUGUCAGGACUCCGGCGACCGUACGAACGCCAAAAGAACAGUCGCAUACUCAGAGUGAUAAUGCUGUUGCUGAUUCAUUUAUCAACUACGAUAAUGCCGAUAAUGCAUACCACGUCUCUAUGAGCCCGAUGGUGAAUGUAGAUUUUAAUGAGGAUCCUGAAAUAAUCAAAUUGAGACGAUCCGAAAAGCUUGUAAAGCCCGCUGCAGCUUUGCUAUCCCCGUAUGUGGCUUACAAAAGAUUUAAAGAUAAACAAGCCAAAAAGUUAAGGAAUGAGGAUAGACAAAUUGCGUUCAUCAAGCAACGGUAUCCAUAUAGCGGCAAUAAACAUCUUUCCCUAAUUGUGGGAAAUUGUGUCGGUCCAAAUUUUUGGGAGUCAUUGCUGGGCGAGGACGGUCGCGGCUGGUUAAGCGAUGAUAAAUGAAAGUGAUCGCUGGAGUAUUCUACCCCCAUAUUUCUAGAAUUUUUUCGAUCACGGGUCGUCGACCAGACCUUCAACGGUUAUUUCACUGGGCAGGUUGAACCUUUUCCACCAAUAAAUACUGUUGACGAGGUUUACGUACCGUUGUAUAUACAAGGCCUCCACUGGUUUUUAGGCGUUUUCAACCUUGUCGAUUACACGCUGACGAUAUACGACAGCCUUUUAAGCUUCAAUACUUUGGAAAAGGAAAGAGCGGAUGUGGCGUGUCAUAUAAAUUUUGUGUUUGACCAUUGGGUACGAAUUCAUGGUUAUAAUGCCGAUAGACCAUUACCGUUAUAUUAUCCCUUCGAAGUUAUUUAUGCAACCGAUGCUCCUCAGCAGUCCGGACCUUUGGGAGACUUUGGAGUUUGGGUUUGCAUGUAUCUUCACAGGUUGAUAAAUAAAAAACCGUUGAACGAUGGUGAAGAUAGUCAGAAAACAGCGGAACGAAUGAGACGUCAACUAGCUUUACUAUUUUAUGAUUCUUUGUUACCCGAUAGUACAAGUGACAACGUCUUUGAUGAUGAACCCGUAAUUGUAAGAUAAUUGUAUUGUUUUGGUUUAAAAAAAUUAAAUACAUUUGUACUGCU